rnacentral:rRNA from 1 species
GACAGAGGAGCCAAGCGUUGUCCGGAUUGACUGGGCGUAAAGCGCACGCAGGCGGCUGCGCGCGUGGGGUGUGAAAUCUGGCCGCUUAACGGCCAGGCGCCAUCCCAUACGGCGCGGCUUGAGCCUUGCAGAGAGCGGUGGAAUUGCCGGUGUAGUGGUGAAAUGCGUAGAGAUCGGCAGGAACACCCAGGGGGAAACCAGCCGCCUGGGCAAGCGCUGACGCUGAGGUGCGAGAGCGUGGGGAGCGAACCGG